rnacentral:misc_RNA from 1 species
UACGUAGGUGGCAAGCGUUGUCCGGAAUUAUUGGGCGUAAAGAGCUCGUAGGCGGUUUGUCGCGUCUGCUGUGAAAACGCGGGGCUUAACCUCGCGCGUGCAGUGGGUACGGGCAGACUAGAGUGCGGUAGGGGAGACUGGAAUUCCUGGUGUAGCGGUGGAAUGCGCAGAUAUCAGGAGGAACACCGGUGGCGAAGGCGGGUCUCUGGGCCGUUACUGACGCUGAGGAGCGAAAGCGUGGGGAGCAAACAGG